AUUUCAAUAUAGCAACCGCCAAACUCCCCCGAAAUCCGUCAUCGGUGUUGCUUUGCCGCGUUUCUGGGUGGUCCCGAAACUGGCUGUGCUGGGCGCAUGGAAACGUCCGACCGCCUCGUCCCUGAAAUCACCGGUGUCCAAGGCGAGGCCCGGGGGCCAGACCCGGCCCGCCGCAUGAUUUUAUGUGGCCCGCAAAGGCAAUGUUCGGGCAGCUAUUCCUCGUCUCCUUCCUGGCUCGUGACUUCAGUGUUGCGCGAGUGAUUGAAGAGAGCGACUCCAUCCGUCCAUUUUCUGAGCUGCUUAUCCUCACGAGCCUCGCGGGAGUGCUGGAGCCAAUCCCAGCUCCAGGUUUUGGGGAUGUGGGAGGAAACCGGAGCACCCAGAGAAAACCCACGCAGGCACGGACGGGGAGAACGUCCAAACUCCAUGCGGGCGGGGCCGGGAUUUGAACCCCGGUCCUCGAAAACUACGUACAACAAUGACUGACAAGAUCAGAUCCAAAAUCUGGGUGAAAACUCAAUGAAGACCUUUACAAUAGGAAAGUGUCAUUUUUCAUGAAAGCGAGGCCAAGGUUGACGCCCACCCCGCCGCCGUCGUUUUAUCUCACCAACGCCGGAGCUCAUCGGGGCCGUCGCCUCCUCGGCGUCGCCAUGGAGACGGAUCAAUUAUGUAUGUGGGCUGCGUAUUAUUGACACAGCGGCACAGGACGACGAGGCCCGCGGCGUCGGUCGCUGACUAUCGUGAUCAAGUCAUCAUUGUGUGAAGUGGACAGGAAGCGGUCCAUAUAUGGACUGGACGGGAUGUCCGGGCUCUCCCAUAGAGAUAGGGCGAGAAGCUCAGUCAUCAGGGAGGGGCUCAGUGUCGAACCGCUGCUCCUCCGCAUUGAGAGGAGCCAGAUGAGGUGGCUGGGGCAUCUGAUUCGGAUGCCUCUCAGAUCCCCCCCUGGUGAGGUGUUCCGGGCACGUCCCACCGGAAAGAAACCCCGAGGACGACCCAGGACACGCUGGAGAGACUAUGUCUCUCGGCUGGCUUGGGAACGCCUCGGGAUCCCGCCGAAAGAGAUGGAAGAAGUGGCUGGAGCAAGUGAUGUCUGGGGAUCCCUGCUGAAGCUACUUCCCCCGCGAACCGACCCGGACAAGAGGGGUCUCACCUCUAACUAUCCGGAUCCACGCCACCAAAACUGAAGUCGCCAUCUUGAUACUCCCAAAACAACCACGCCGACCUGUGCGGCGACAGCGAUUUCGUGGCUGUGAGAAAAUAUUCCACAGGAGUACCAAGAUGGCGGCCAACUGGCUUCACCCAAUCAACAUACCGCUCGAUGUGUAUGCGCUAUCCGGUCUGGGUCAGUUGACCAGCAGGAAGCCCCCAUCUGGACCCAGCAGAGAGAAGAGCUCGUAACGCGGGGGCGGCAGCUUGUUCACGCAGCAAUACAACUCCAGCAGACUCACGGCGGAGCCGAACUGACCAGGUUGGAGCAGCUGCAAGUCGGUGGGGUACAGCUGAGAGCCAGGAUUGAGCGGGAACACACCCUGGGCAGCUCGAACUGGACAAAUCAGGAAUGACAAAGGUUGAUUACCCCACUGGCUCCACCUCCUUGUGGCUGCCUUUGCUGCCAUCUGUAGAUAUUCAGGGUCACUGCUACGGGGUUU